rnacentral:rRNA from 1 species
GACGAACGCUGGCGGCGUGCUUAACACAUGCAAGUCGAACGUGAUUUUUGUGGAAAGCCCUUCGGGGACGGAAAUGAAAUGAAAGUGGCGAACGGGUGAGUAACACGUGAGCAACCUACCUUACACAGGGGGAUAGCCGUUGGAAACGACGAUUAAUACCGCAUGAGACCACAAAGCCACAUGGCUUAGGGGUAAAAGAUUUAUCGGUGUAAGAUGGGCUCGCGUCUGAUUAGCUAGUUGGAAGGGUAAAGGCCUACCAAGGCAACAAUCAGUAGCCGGUCUGAGAGGAUGAACGGCCACAUUGGAACUGAGACACGGUCCAAACUCCUACGGGAGGCAGCAGUGGGGAAUAUUGCACAAUGGGGGGAACCCUGAUGCAGCGACGCCGCGUGAGCGAAGAAGGUUUUCGAAUCGUAAAGCUCUGUCCUAUGAGAAGAUAAUGACGGUAUCAUAGGAGGAAGCCCCGGCUAAAUACGUGCCAGCAGCCGCGGUAAUACGUAUGGGGCGAGCGUUGUCCGGAAUUAUUGGGCGUAAAGGGUACGUAGGCGGCCUUUUAAGUCAGGUGUGAAAGCGUGAGGCUUAACCUCAUUAAGCACUUGAAACUGGAAGGCUUGAGUGAAGGAGAGGAAAGUGGAAUUCCUAGUGUAGCGGUGAAAUGCGUAGAUAUUAGGAGGAAUACCGGUGGCGAAGGCGACUUUCUGGACUUUUACUGACGCUCAGGUACGAAAGCGUGGGGAGCAAACAGG